rnacentral:rRNA from 1 species
UACGAACUGUGCAACCGUUAUUCGGAAUCACUGGGCUUACAGGGUGCGUAGGCGGUUUGUCAAGUAGGGUGUGAAAUCCCCCGGCUCAACCGGGGAAUUGCGCCCUAAACUGGCGAGCUGGAGUGAGAUAGGGGUGUGUGGAACUUCCAGUGGAGCGGUGAAAUGUGUUGAUAUUGGAAGGAACGCCAGUGGCGAAAGCGACACACUGGGUCUCAACUGACGCUGAGGCACGAAAGCCAGGGGAGCAAACGGG